rnacentral:tRNA from 1 species
UCCUCAGUAGCACAGUGGUAGAGCGAUCAGCUAUUAACCGAUUGGUCUUAGGUUCGAAUCCUAGCGACAAA